GCCUACAUGAAGCUGGAAUUGCUAGUAAUCACAGGUCAGCAUACUGUGGUGAAUACGUUCCCGGGCCUUGUACACACCGCCCGUCACACCAUGAGAGUUGAGAAUACCCGAAGCCCAUGUCAAAGUGGUCGAAGGUAGGCUUGAUGAUUGGGGUGAAGUCGUAACAAGGUAAC
rnacentral:rRNA from 1 species